CAAUUUAAUUUGCUAGGGUUUUCUCGUUGAACCCAGAAGAGGGAAAAACAAAUAAAAAACAGCCCUCUUAUGCAUUGUGUCGCGAUGAAUUCGUCAAUCCACGUACGUCGUCGAAGCAUGUGUUCUUAAUUCUUCUUUUUCGCAGAAUCGUGAGAGAGAUCAUUUUAGAGAGAAAGUGAAAGGAGAGAGAUUUCAUUAUCAUCGUCUAUUUUGCCACGACCUCCACCUCUGCAUGCUGAAGCUAAUUCCAUCUUUACCUGGGUCUCUUUGAACAGACCACACUCAUGAAUCUCGGGCUCCAUAUCAAGCUUCCGUAGCCAUGGGGUUUGAUUCCGAGAAGCAAUCGAUUCUUCUGCUGGACAGGUUUCACACUUCUUGUUACACAUCCUCUUUUAUUAUUUUGAUUCCCCUUCCUUGUUUGAUUUCUGCUCGCGAGCUGGGUUUUGUUUGUUCGAUUCUUCUCCCGAUCGAUUUAAGGGCUUGAAAGAGUUUUGAAUGCAGUAGAUAGGUUAGGGUUUGGCUUUGAGUGGGAAAAUAAUUGUGGAUGUUUCUGUAAUGUGUGGAAGUUGCGAAACUAGGAUUUUAUAUUCAAACAUAAAAUUAAAUAAUGUUUUAUACGAUUUUUCCAACAGCACAAACAUCCAAAUGAUUUAGUAUCUGAGUGGUAACUAUACUCUUACUUUAGUCUUUAUUUCUGCUCCAUGGAUUCAUCCAACUUUACUUUUUAUUGUUUCGUUACUUCUCUACAAGGAGCUCCUAAUUUGGACGUUGAUUAAAGUUCAAGGUACUGCCGUUGGACUACCCAUCGAAUAUGAUAUGGGAAACAAUUUAGCUUAAAUUGCAGACUUGACAUCUAUUUGGACUUUUUUGUGCCACUCUUUCAUCUCUUUAACCAGUCUUAAAUCGAUCAGCAUCUGAAAUUACUUAUUUCCCACAUUUUGAUUUUUGAUAACGUAUGGUUUUGAGUCAUAGAUGUUGAUUCUGAUUCACCAGAUUGAUAGCUUCAUAUGUUUUGGGAUUCUCGCCAUAUGUGGAUCUACUGUCUGCAGAAAUUUCUGCUAAAAGAACAUAAGAAAUGGAGGAUUCCAUUUGUUGAUAAGAUUUCAUUUAAAUCAGCAUAUCCAUGUGAGCAUAACUAAAUGCACAUAAAAAAUGGAGGAAAAGAAAGAACAUAAUUUGUUGAUAAGAUUCCAUUUAAAUCAUUAUGUCCAUGUGAGCAUAAUUAAAUGGACAAAAGAAAGUUGCAUGAACGAAUUUUAUUUCAGAUGAAUAGGCCUGAAUUUGGCAAUCUGAUUAAUGAAAGCUGCUCUUAUCAAAGAUGGAUGAUGUUUGUAG
rnacentral:lncRNA from 1 species